rnacentral:rRNA from 1 species
GAUGAACGCUGGCGGCGUGCCUAAUGCAUGCAAGUCGAGCGAACGGACGAGAAGCUUGCUUCUCUGAUGUUAGCGGCGGACGGGUGAGUAACACGUGGAUAACCUACCUAUAAGACUGGGAUAACUUCGGGAAACCGGAGCUAAUACCGGAUAAUAUUUUGAACCGCAUGGUUCAAAAGUGAAAGACGGUCUUGCUGUCACUUAUAGAUGGAUCCGCGCUGCAUUAGCUAGUUGGUAAGGUAACGGCUUACCAAGGCAACGAUGCAUAGCCGACCUGAGAGGGUGAUCGGCCACACUGGAACUGAGACACGGUCCAGACUCCUACGGGAGGCAGCAGUAGGGAAUCUUCCGCAAUGGGCGAAAGCCUGACGGAGCAACGCCGCGUGAGUGAUGAAGGUCUUCGGAUCGUAAAACUCUGUUAUUAGGGAAGAACAUAUGUGUAAGUAACUGUGCACAUCUUGACGGUACCUAAUCAGAAAGCCACGGCUAACUACGUGCCAGCAGCCGCGGUAAUACGUAGGUGGCAAGCGUUAUCCGGAAUUUAUGGGCGUAAAGCGCGCGUAGGCGGUUUUUUUAAGUCUGAUGUGAAAGCCCACGGCUCAACCGUGGAGGGUCAUUGGAAACUGGAAAACUUGAGUGCAGAAGAGGAAAGUGGAAUUCCAUGUGUAGCGGUGAAAUGCGCAGAGAUAUGGAGGAACACCAGUGGCGAAGGCGACUUUCUGGUCUGUAACUGACGCUGAUGUGCGAAAGCGUGGGGAUCAAACAGGAUUAGAUACCCUGGUAGUCCACGCCGUAAACGAUGAGUGCUAAGUGUUAGGGGGUUUCCGCCCCUUAGUGCUGCAGCUAACGCAUUAAGCACUCCGCCUGGGGAGUACGACCGCAAGGUUGAAACUCAAAGGAAUUGACGGGGACCCGCACAAGCGGUGGAGCAUGUGGUUUAAUUCGAAGCAACGCGAAGAACCUUACCAAAUCUUGACAUCCUUUGACAACUCUAGAGAUAGAGCCUUCCCCUUCGGGGGACAAAGUGACAGGUGGUGCAUGGUUGUCGUCAGCUCGUGUCGUGAGAUGUUGGGUUAAGUCCCGCAACGAGCGCAACCCUUAAGCUUAGUUGCCAUCAUUAAGUUGGGCACUCUAAGUUGACUGCCGGUGACAAACCGGAGGAAGGUGGGGAUGACGUCAAAUCAUCAUGCCCCUUAUGAUUUGGGCUACACACGUGCUACAAUGGACAAUACAAAGGGCAGCGAAACCGCGAGGUCAAGCAAAUCCCAUAAAGUUGUUCUCAGUUCGGAUUGUAGUCUGCAACUCGACUACAUGAAGCUGGAAUCGCUAGUAAUCGUAGAUCAGCAUGCUACGGUGAAUACGUUCCCGGGUCU